AUGGUGGAGGGCUCCGCGUCCGACAUCACCAACCUAAAGUUCCUCCUCCUGUGUUUCCAACAGAUGUCUGGGCUUACCAUUAACUUUGAUAAGAGCGAAGUGAUGGUCCUUGGCUAUCCUCCGGAGGAGGCGAUGUCCAUUGCGGACCGGCUAAACUGCCGCCUGGGUUCCUUCCCCACGACCUACCUGGGGAUACCCAUUAGUGACUCCAGACUCAUCGUGGCUGACUUCCGCCCGACGGUGACUCGGAUGGAGCACCGGGUCGAACCCUGGCGGGGGCGUUGGCUGUCGAAAGCGGCCAAGGUGAUUCUAAUCAAUCCCUCGCUUGCUAGCCUUCUCUGGUUCCUCAUGAGCUUCUACAACCUCCAUGAGACCCUCCAUCAGGAGGUCGCUAAAUACCAGUCGAGGUUCUAUUGGGCGGGCGAGGGAGACAAGCAGAAGUAUCAUAUGGUGAGCUGGCUCGACAUUUGUAAAUCCAAAGACCAGGGUGGCCUUGGGGUCCUGUCAUCUCACCGAAUGAACAUUGCUCUCCUGACCCGCUGGCUGUGGCGUAUCGCCAAUGGGGAGGGAGGCCUCUGGCUGACUAUCAUCCGUAAUAAAUACCUGAGGGGCCAACCUCUGGCCUUUUGCCAGCGUACGGGUGGAUCCCAGUUCUGGCAGUCCGUGAUCCAGCUUCUGCCCGUCCUCUGCAUCGGUAUGUCCAUCUCUGUUGGAUCCGGGUCCUCGACCCUGUUCUGGUUCGACCGAUGGCUUGAGAACUCCCCCUUGGCUGUGCGAUUCCCAGAACUCUUUGCCAUUGCAGCUGACCCUCGGGUCUCUGUCGAGACGGCCCUUAUUGACUGA
rnacentral:rRNA from 1 species